AUAGCGUAUAUUAAAGUUGUUGCAGUUAAAAAGCUCGUAGUUGAACUUUAGGCAAGGCGGCCGGGUCUCCCAAUGGCUGUACUUGGCUCGCCGCGCCUCACCUUCGGGGAACUAGUCGUGCUUCGGUGCGCUAGGGAACCGAGCCUUACUUUGAAGAAAUUAGAGUGUUUAAAGCAGGCUUACGCUUGAAUACAUCAGCAUGGAAUAACAUGAUAGGACUUUGGUUCUAUUUUGUUGGUUUGAGGACCAAAGUAAUGAUUAAUAGGGCCAGUCGGGGGCAUUAGUAUUCUAUAGUCAGAGGUGAAAUUCUUGGAUUUAUAGAAGACUAACUAGUG
rnacentral:rRNA from 1 species